rnacentral:rRNA from 1 species
AACGAACGCUGGCGGCAUGCCUAACACAUGCAAGUCGAACGAGACCUUCGGGUCUAGUGGCGCACGGGUGCGUAACGCGUGGGAACCUGCCCUUAGGUUCGGAAUAACUCCCCGAAAGGGGUGCUAAUACCGGAUAAUGUCUUCGGACCAAAGAUUUAUCGCCUUUGGAUGGGCCCGCGUUGGAUUAGCUAGUUGGUAGGGUAAAAGCCUACCAAGGCGACGAUCCAUAGCUGGUCUGAGAGGAUGAUCAGCCACACUGGGACUGAGACACGGCCCAGACUCCUACGGGAGGCAGCAGUGGGGAAUAUUGGACAAUGGGCGAAAGCCUGAUCCAGCAAGGCCGCGUGAGUGAUGAAGGCGUUAGGGUUGUAAAGCUCUUUUACCCGGGAUGAUAAUGACAGUACCGGGAGAAUAAACUCCGGCUAACUCCGU